AUCACUCGAGUCUUUAUAGCAGUUGCAAAUUGUCAAUUGGGAUCAUGAGACCAAUAUUUGGAACGUUAUUAUUAAUUUUAGUUGUAUUUUCUUACAAAUGUUAUGGAGGAGAUACAAUUUUGUAUAGGAUAUCAGGAAGGAUCUUUUACUUAUCGAGAACUGCAGUUGACUGGGUAACAGCAGUUCAAGAAUGUGAAAAACAAAUGAUGGUUCUUGUAUCAAUAAGAUCUGAGGAGGAAAAUAAAGCAUUGGCACAGUUUCUGCGACCCAGGACUAUUACUGCUUGGAUUGGUGGAUACAACUACGAGGAUGAUGAUCAAUGGCGAUGGAUUGAAGAUGGAAAUGUCUUUAACUACACCAAUUGGGAUAUAAAUGCACCAACUGAGAAAUCUAAGAGCUGUGCCCAAAUAAUGCGAGUACCUUAUGGAAAAUGGUUAGAUGAGCCUUGUAAUGUGAAGAAGAAAUUUGUAUGUGAACUAGUGAAGAAAAAUUGUUCACAAUAGUUGACUAUUUUACUUUAUUUUAGUUACAAAAAAUGACUAUUUGUCAUUUAAACAUAUUUGUAUAUAAUUUAUGAGAAAAUAGAACAAAAUAUCGUUGAGUGACUUUUAAUUGUAACAUUUUGAGGUACAAAUUUUUACCUAAAAAGUCUUCUUUUCUUCUCUCAUUGGCAACUCAAUGGAAGAAUUACAGUGGUGAAUGCUAGAAAAAAGUAUGUAGAAAACCCUUAAUGACUUGCCAACCCUCAUUUUCCCGUGGCAACUGUUCACUUUGACUUAUGCAUAGUUGAUGAUUUUCAAAUUGUUCCUUUUCUCAUGCUAUAUACAUAUUUUUAUUCUCUUUUUUUCUUCCUCCCUCUCCGUGAGUUCUGACAUUCCCAUAUUUAAUUCCAUUUCUUUCCCACAUUGCCACCCAUUCAUUGCUUUUGGGGGGGUACAGGAAGAGGGAAACUAAUAAGAGUCCUUCAAAUCAAAAAAUUGUUACACUAACACGUGACCACUUGACUUCUUUUCCAUACAAUCAUUCGUCCGCCAGAGUGUAACCAUUAAAUACAGAUUUAUCCAUCAAGUUUCCACACCCCAAAAAUCCCAACAUCAUCCCUAUAUAGCCACCCCUCAGAGUCAUUUAGUGUCGUUAGGGCGAGCAGUUAAUGUUCAUUUCGUGGUUUUUACAGUUGCUCUAUAGCAUAAUAACUAUUGAAAUUCAUUAUUUCAUCGUCCAACUACUUUUCAAGUGAUGAAAAGUCACAGAAUAAUUGAUUGUGCACUUUGAAAGUUUCAACAUGGAAAAGCAAAUACCAACCACUUUAGUCUCAUGUAGUCGUAUCUCAACAAAUUUUUAUAUUACGCAUAUUAUUUAAUUUUACUAGGAGCUAUCUGUAUUGGGAAAAUUGUUAAAAAAAAAAUUAAAAGAGUCUAUGGAA